rnacentral:rRNA from 1 species
UACGUAGGGUGCGAGCGUUGUCCGGAAUUAUUGGGCGUAAAGGGCUCGUAGGCGGUUUGUUGCGUCGGAAGUGAAAACUCAGGGCUUAACCCUGAGCCUGCUUCCGAUACGGGCAGACUAGAGGUAUGCAGGGGAGAACGGAAUUCCUGGUGUAGCGGUGAAAUGCGCAGAUAUCAGGAGGAACACCGGUGGCGAAGGCGGUUCUCUGGGCAUUACCUGACGCUGAGGAGCGAAAGCAUGGGGAGCGAACAGG